UGGGGAAUUUUGGACAAUGGGCGAAAGCCUGAUCCAGCAAUGCCGCGUGUGUGAAGAAGGCCUUCGGGUUGUAAAGCACUUUUGUCCGGAAAGAAAUCCUUGGCUCUAAUACAGUCGGGGGAUGACGGUACCGGAAGAAUAAGCACCGGCUAACUACGUGCCAGCAGCCGCGGUAAUACGUAGGGUGCAAGCGCUAAUCGGAAUUACUGGGCGUAAAGCGUGCGCAGGCGGUUUGCUAAGACCGAUGUGAAAUCCCCGGGCUCAACCUGGGAACUGCAUUGGUGACUGGCAGGCUAGAGUAUGGCAGAGGGGGGUAGAAUUCCACGUGUAGCAGUGAAAUGCGUAGAGAUGUGGAGGAAUACCGAUGGCGAAGGCAGCCCCCUGGGCCAAUACUGACGCUCAUGCACGAAAGCGUGGGGAGCAAACAGGAUUAGAUACCCUGGUAGUCCACGCCCUAAACGAUGUCAACUAGUUGUUGGGGAUUCAUUUCCUUAGUAACGUAGCUAACGCGUGAAGUUGACCGCCUGGGGAGUACGGUCGCAAGAUUAAAACUCAAAUGAAUUGACGGGGUC
rnacentral:rRNA from 1 species